CGUUUUCCCCAGCCAAUCUGCACACUGAUGCCCAAGCGCAGCAAAUGCUUGCUUUGUGGCAGCAUAAAUUCCUAAAGAAUAAAAAAUAUCAUACAGGUCACUAGCCUAUGGAUUGCAAAAGGGAAACAGAAAAAUGUAAUAAAUAAACAGCUAAGAAAAUUGUAUAGUAUUCCUAAAUAUUAUUAAAAAUUAAUAAAUAAAAAGUUGUUAAAAAGUUAAUGAUAUUUAGGAAUACUAUUCAAUUUUCUUAACUUUUAAUUCAUUCAUUUAUAUUUAGAAAUACUAUACAAUUUUCUUAAGAUUUAUAUUUCGUUAUCUCUCAUGCUGUAAUGUGGCUGGGCUUUCAAACGUACCUUGUGCAUGUCCAUGCUCCACCUCGACGUGUCCAAUUAAUAUGCUGACCGUCCGUCCUUUCUGCAAAUUGCGGCUGUAGAUAAUCACGCACUCCUUUGUAGAGAUGUCUGUGUCGCCGUCAAUCAUGAAAGACACAUACAUGGCGUUACCAAGCUGUCUUCUUCUUUAAUGUAUCUCCUAUUACACCAAUAAAUUGGGCACAUGCCGUAUCAUUGCUGUAGGUCGGGUUGACAUUUAAUCAAUUUUUCUUCAUCAAAAUAAUCUCAUUUAAAUUUGGUGAACGGCAUUUCCUCCUUUGCAAUGUUGUAUGCAACAUUACAUUUUAUGAUCAUUUCGGAUUCCUCCGAGGACCUGAUUACUACUGCCUGCCUCUGAAAUGCAGCUGGGAGAGGGGCCACUUUAUUUGCACAUUUGUCACGGCAUAUUGUGUGCUUUUGGACAUGUUGUGUUUUUUUAACGUUUCUAUGCGAAACGCCGUUGCCUCGCCUACGAAUGCAGUAUUACCGGCCAUUAUCUGACCGCACUCCCGACAGUAAAUGCAGUGCAUUGCAUUCCGUCCUUUGUCGUAUCUCAGCCAGGGAAAUUGUGUCAACCAGUCAUGUCUGAAAGAGUACAUUUUGGGCUUUUUAAUUUGAGUCUCGGGGCCGGGCUCAAUCUCAGACUCGGAUGUCUCCUCUGGUUCCGAAUCUAAUGUUAUCGCCGAAGGACCGGGGCCAGUUGGCAUCUUCCCAGGGACCGUCGCCGAGGUCUCUGUGUCUUGGCUGGUUUUCUUAAUGAACAAGCUUUCAAUGUUUCUACCUGUCUUCAUUUUCACUCGUUUAUGUCGUGUUUAUUUUCUUUUCUGUUUCAUUUAGUCAACUCUGGCGCUCAGCCUGCUCAGGUCGAUCGCAUUUUUUGAACUCACACUUAGAGCAGUGAAAAAGACGACAGCCAAUCAGAGGCAGAGAAACGCCCUGAGCUCCGUUUCUUAUUGGUGACAACAAAUCCAGAGAGAUGCUGCGCUUGCGCAAAAAAAAAAAAAAGUUUUCACCCGAGCAGCGUCAGGUGCACCAGUGCGACUGUAACCAGGGUGAUACAACAUAUUUUAGUUUUGAUGAAAUAUCACCAAAUUCUGAUUAAUAAGAAACAAAUAUAUGUUUAAGCUAUGUUCAAGGUACCUUUUGUAACCUGUUCCAACCCCUAUGUCAAUGUGUUUUCAAUACCUGUACUGUCGCUUUAAGAAAAGUUUGUGUCUUAGUGACGUGUAUGCAGCGCCAAGCUCAGAAUGCCGUUGGCUGUCUGAGUGGAGGUAUGUUGAUGUAUUUGUCGUCACAUUCUGAGCAUAUAAAUCGUUUUGUAGAUAAUGUAAAUGUUAUAUAUGAACAUGCUACAGUACUGUUAUAACAGCUAACGCUUUGAAAAUGUACUUUUUGAGAGUUUAUUGUAUAUAUGUGCUUCAGAGUUUCCGAUUGUUUGUUUGCUAGGCGGGAAUGUGGUCCUGGCUAUGACGGUUUACAUGACGGUUUACAUGCGAUGACAUGAUUUUCUUUGGCUCAUCCAG
ensembl:lncRNA